AGAACAUGCAAAGCAUGCUAGGAAUCUCGCGUUCAGGUGUGCGGCGUUGUAGGUGCUAUUUCUGUUGGAUUAGAAAUAAUACAUAGAGAAGCAACACUCUCGCGUUCCGAAGCGCGGCCGCCAUUUUUAAACGGACCCGCCGGUUUUCGGCAAAUAUCUCUGCAAAAACUGCACCAAAAACCAUGAACAAGGUACCGUUCUUUUCAGCAAGAUGAGACGUUUACAAAGAGCUAAGCCAACGACUGAUACGUCGUGUUUCCGCCAAGAUAUUUCGCCGUGGGUUACCGUCGCGUCCAGGCCGAGCCAGAGGCCUGCUUUCAGCGACAAACACACGGGAUUGUUUGUUUAGGGAGAAGCAGGAAUUACAUCCUCUGGCCUCACUGCAGGAAGCUGCCGAGCUGUCUUCCUGGGCAUCUGAGAACGUGUCUGCUUGUGUGGAAGAAGAUUCAGACCAUUUUUGGAGCUGAUGAUCCAAUUGUCAGUGGAAAUGAUUAGGAUGGGC